rnacentral:tRNA from 1 species
GUUCGUGUAGCUCAACUGGAAUUAGAGCGUUCGUCUACGAAGCGAAAGGUUAUAGGUUCGAUCCCUAUCAUGAACA